UAGCCUGUUCACAUAUGAUCUUGACUCUCA
rnacentral:piRNA from 1 species